UGGGGAAUUUUGGACAAUGGGCGCAAGCCUGAUCCAGCAAUGCCGCGUGCAGGACGAAGGCCCUCGGGUUGUAAACUGCUUUUGUACAGAACGAAAAGUCUCUGGCUAAUAUCUGGAGAUCAUGACGGUACUGUAAGAAUAAGCACCGGCUAACUACGUGCCAGCAGCCGCGGUAAUACGUAGGGUGCGAGCGUUAAUCGGAAUUACUGGGCGUAAAGCGUGCGCAGGCGGUUCUGUAAGACAGAGGUGAAAUCCCCGGGCUCAACCUGGGAACUGCCUUUGUGACUGCAGGGCUGGAGUACGGCAGAGGGGGAUGGAAUUCCGCGUGUAGCAGUGAAAUGCGUAGAUAUGCGGAGGAACACCGAUGGCGAAGGCAGUCCCCUGGGCCUGUACUGACGCUCAUGCACGAAAGCGUGGGGAGCAAACAG
rnacentral:rRNA from 1 species